rnacentral:ncRNA from 14 species
GAGAAAUGACUGAGUGGUUUAAAGUGGCAGAUUGUAAAUCUGCUGGGGAAACCCAUCGCAGGUUCGAACCCUGCUUUCUUC